CCUGUACUUUGUUAGAGCUUGGAGUUGAUGAACUCACAAGUGUAGGUCGUCUGCUACACCAGGGGCAAGUCUCUUACUAACACCACAAGGGUCUCUGGCCCAAUGAGUGGAAUUUGAUAGUAAUUCUUGCACAAGU
rnacentral:snoRNA from 1 species